rnacentral:lncRNA from 10 species
GCUACUUCAAAAAUAAUAAUUUUUGUCAUAAUAAUAUAUAACUUAGAUAAUACAAAAACAAUAAAAAAAUUAAGUCUAAAACUAAACAUUGACUUAGUUGCUAAAACCAUUAUUCAAAUGACAAUCACCCUCCAUUGAGGUGCCCAGUUGAGAGAUGAUACACACAAAAGGGUUCACUAUAUGAGGUGCCAUUUUAACACGAAAUUUAUUAGCAGUAAUUUAAAACAUUGCUUGAAGUUACUUUAUACAAUUGCCACAUGCUUUCUAAUUUGAUUUCCAUGUGGUUGUGAUACGCUGGUAAAGGUAAACUAGCUUGAGGGUUAGUAUACUCAAAGGAGAAGAGCAGGUUAUAUUAUUAGCUCUGCUUACCAGGGCGUUUUGGUUUUCUUUUGUUUUUAAAAUCAAGACUUUCUCUUAUUUCAUACCUCCGUGGGAGUAUAGUUGCUUAGUAACCCUGCACUGACUGGGGGCUGUUGCUCUCGGAGCUAUACCCGGGAGGAACCUGCGUGUGAAGGAGACCGCUGUCAGCAAGCCUACACUCAGAGGAUUUACCCGGUGCAGAGAGCUCCAAGAGAACACCAGAGCCCCUGGUAUUCUGGUUCACUUGAAUUUGUCCUCCUGCCUAUUCCAUAUUUUUUUCACACAUACAAUCAUUUGUUUGCAGUCUGGAAAUAUAAAACCAUUCAAGAAAUGGAGGCCCAACUAUUGGCUCUGUAACCCCUAUUGGAUCAAUUUACACGUGGUGUGGAAGAGGAGAAAGAGUGGAAUGCUACCAUAAUCAGUCUUGGGUGACCAGAGAGGAAGGAAUGGAUGGCAGAGGAACCCUGUGAUGUUGAAUGAAGGACGAGUUUCUUUGGCUAUCUGUAGAAAGCUUCAAAAUACGUUGUCUUCUUAAAGGCCCGACCACCAUUGAACUCUUUUGAGCAGAGGUACAUUUCACUUUGCUUGGAUUUACCAGGGCUUUCAAAAUUCAGUGCUUUCAUGCUUUGGAAAUAGGUA